GCCCUCGUGGCCCAAAGGAAGAGGCGGACCACUUAAAAUGGUCAGGGUAUCGGUUCGAAUCCGAUCGAGGGUACGA
rnacentral:tRNA from 1 species